AUUGAACGCUGGCGGCAGGCCUAACACAUGCAAGUCGAGCGAGCGGCGGACGGGUGAGUAAUGUAUGGGAAACUGCCCGAUGGAGGGGGAUAAAUACUGGAAACGGUGGCUAAUACCGCAUACUAUCGGAUGAACCAAGAUGGGAUUAGCUAGUAGGUGGGGUAAAGGCUCACCUAGGCUACGAUCUCUAGCUGGUCUGAGAGGAUGAUCAGCCACACUGUGACUUAGACCCGGUCCCGACUCCUACGUGAGGCAGCAGUGGGGAAUAUGGCACAAUGGGCGCAAGCCUGAUGCAGCCAUGCCGCGGGUAUGAAGAAGGCCUUAGGGUUGUAAAGUACUUUAAGCGGGGAGGCGUUACCCGCAGAAGAAGCACCGGCUAACUCCGUGCCAGCCGCCGCGGUAAUAC
rnacentral:rRNA from 1 species